rnacentral:lncRNA from 1 species
AGGGGUGAGAUUUAAGAUUUAGGGUUUAGGGUUUAGGAUUUAGAAUUUAGGGGUGGAGUUUAGGGUUUAGGGUUUAGAGUUAAGGGGUGGGGUUUAGGAUUUAGGGUUUAGGGUUCAUGAUUUAUGAUUUAGGGUUUAGGGUUUAGAGUUUAGGUUUUAGGGUUUAGAGUUUAGGUUUUAGGGUUUAGAGUUUGGGAUAAGAUUUCAAAUUUUGAAAAAUAAUAAAAAAAAAUUCAAAAGAUAAAAUGCUAUUUUAGAUGUUAUUUUGGAGAUUUGCCCAUCUUUAUAUGCCCCAUGUUAUACAAAAAUGUUUAUAUGCCCCAUGUUCAAAACAAUCCUGGUUCCGCCCCUGAUUCUGAGUGGAUUUAACUUCGAUACUCUUACGUGAUUUUGAAUCCGAGCCUUUGCUCGCCAUGUUCGUUGUGCAGAGAGAAGGGACUGCAUCUCUCGAACUCUCUCCAGGUAUUAGGGCUUAUGAGGUUUUAGUGAAUAGACUUUGCGCGCUUCUCGCCAAGUCGAUAAGUUCCAAUUUGUUGCGAAGCGUACCAAAAACAUUUUAAUUUCAAAUUAAAAUUUAUCAGAGAAAUUAAUGAGUAAAAUCGUAAUUUCAUUAAUUACUUGCCGAUUUGUGUAAAUUCAAGUUCCCUGUAGAUCUCGCUCUAGCUCCACAAAUAAAUGAUCUGAUCUGAUCCGUGUACGCUUCUUUAUUCUUUGCAAUAAUUAGAUAGUGAUUGCUCCAACUGAACCAAAAUGCUCACACGUUACAUUGUAGCCUGACCAAAAUGCUCACACGUUACAUUGUAGCCUGUACCAUCAUCAGUCUGGGAUCCCUCAAGAGAACAUGAUACUUGUAAACUGAGCAUUUGCAUAAAAAUGCCAUCGCUACUCAUUCAUCUGUGCAUUUGUAGGGUGUAGACUUGUUCAUAUGCUAAGCCAAAGCAGAUUGGGUCGUCUUCAGUUUUGAAAGAAAAAAUAAAGAGUCUGUUAUAAGGUAUUACAAUUUUUAUUUAUUUAUUUAUGAUGAUAAACAAACCCCAAAUAUCAUUGAUCAGAGUCACGGGGCGGAAUCUUGAUAUUUCGCUGAGAAACUAACCGUUUUUAGCGGAAUCACAUGCGAUAACCCAAUCUAUAUAGAGGUAGAAUUCUCGAUGAUAAACAAACCACAAACGUUAAAAACAUAAAAAAUUAAGAAACUUCCAUAUGUUUAUUCUGAAACUGCAACAUUAUGGAGGGAUUAAGCUCUCGUUCUCUGAACCACCAAACUGCCAGAUUGUCAAUGGCACCAAACAGAAAAAUCGUAAACGUAACCACAGGGUAGAGGAUCAUCAUAAAAAACAGCACCACCACUUGGACCACGGAACCCCCUUCCUCCAAAUCCACUUCCUCUUUCAGUAGCGAAGUUCACCCUAAUUAUUCGACCAUGAAGGUGCUGUGUUCCAGAAAACAAAAACAAUAAAUGGCCUAUUGACAGACAA